AAUCCAAUUUUUAAAUCGUGAGGGUUCAAGUCCCUCUAUCCCCA
rnacentral:tRNA from 1 species